UACGGUAGGUGGCAAGCGUUGUCCGGAAUUACUGGGUGUAAAGCGCGUGUAGGCGGCAGACCAAGUCGGCGGUGAAAGCGCCCGGCUCAACUGGGCGAGGUCCGUGGAAACUGGUCAGCUGGAGGACGGUAGAGGCGAGUGGAAUUCCCGGUGUAGUGGUGAAAUGCGUAGAGAUCGGGAGGAACACCGAUGGCGAAGGCAGGUCACUGGGCCGCAACUGACGCUGAGGAGCGAAAGCAUGGGGGAGCGAACAGG
rnacentral:rRNA from 1 species